GAUGACGAUGACGAUGACGAUGACGAUAACGACGACGACGACGAUAAUGAUGACGAUGAUGAUGAUGAUGCGGUUCGUGUUUUAUCGCGCAAGUGGAGAAAGUGUUUUAGAAAAUCCUCUCUAUGUAAUUCUGUGAUCAGUAGUGAUACACAACGAUGAUUAAACAAAUCUAGUUUAUACAAAUCGAGAAGUGAAGUUUUGCGAAAAGGAAAGAAGAAAAAAUGAAAAAAUGAAUAAUAAAAAAAAAAACAAGUACUCGAACUAAUAUAUAUAUAUAUAUACACAUAUAUAUAAUAUACACAUAUAUGUAUGAAUAGCGAGAUGGUGAGAAUUGGAGUUGACAGCAUGAGUUGUACGGAGGUAUUAUAAUUAUGAUUAUUAUUAUUAUUAAUUAAUUAAUUAUAUUAUUAUAUAAUUAUUUUAUUACUAUUAUUGUUAUUAUUAUUAUUAUUAUUAUUAUUAUUAUAUAUUGAUAACAUAAGUGUUCGCGAAGGUAAAAACUAGAAUUGUAUCAUAAUAAACGGCUAAUAAUAAUUGUGUAAAUAUAUUUAAAAAAAAAAAAAAAAAAAAAAAAAAGAAAAAAAGGGAAAAAAAAGGAAAAGGACAAAAAAAUAUUAUAGUUAUUAUUUCAACAAGAGAAUAGCGGAUUACACGUAGAAUAUGGAAUAUAAAUCGAUAAAAAUGUGUGAGUUAGCUAAAAACGACUGUUGUUGUUGUUGUGUGGUGUUAACUGUAGUGAACAAAACAAAAAUGAAAAAGUCGAUGUAUGUCUAGACUUUGGAGAAUAAAAACUCUCAACACACA